GACGAACGCUGGCGGCGUGCCUAAUACAUGCAAGUUGAGCGCUGAAGGUUGGUACUUGUACCAACUGGAUGAGCAGCGAACGGGUGAGUAACGCGUGGGGAAUCUGCCUUUGAGCGGGGGACAACAUUUGGAAACGAAUGCUAAUACCGCAUAAAAACUUUAAACACAAGUUUUAAGUUUGAAAGAUGCCAUUGCAUCACUCAAAGAUGAUCCCGCGUUGUAUUAGCUAGUUGGUGAGGUAAAGGCUCACCAAGGCGAUGAUACAUAGCCGACCUGAGAGGGUGAUCGGCCACAUUGGGACUGAGACACGGCCCAAACUCCUACGGGAGGCAGCAGUAGGGAAUCUUCGGCAAUGGACGAAAGUCUGACCGAGCAACGCCGCGUGAGUGAAGAAGGUUUUCGGAUCGUAAAACUCUGUUGGUAGAGAAGAACGUUGGUGAGAGUGGAAAGCUCAUCAAGUGACGGUAACUACCCAGAAAGGGACGGCUAACUACGUG
rnacentral:rRNA from 1 species